GACGAACGCUGGCGGCGUGCCUAAUACAUGCAAGUCGAACGAGGUCCAUCCAGUGGCAACACUGGUGAAGACCUAGUGGCGAACGGGUGAGUAACACGUGAGGAACCUACCUCGAUCUCGGGAAUAACAGGUGGAAACACCCGCUAAUACCGGAUGCCUUCACCACCUCGCAUGGGGUGGUGAAGAAAGAUUCAUCGGAUCGGGACGGCCUCGCGGCCUAUCAGCUUGUUGGUGGGGUAACGGCCUACCAAGGCUCCGACGGGUAGCUGGUCUGAGAGGACGAUCAGCCACACUGGGACUGAGACACGGCCCAGACUCCUACGGGAGGCAGCAGUAGGGAAUCUUGCGCAAUGGGCGAAAGCCUGACGCAGCAACGCCGCGUGGGGGAUGAAGGCCCUCGGGUUGUAAACCCCUUUCAGCAGGAACGAAUCUGACGGUACCUGCAGAAGAAGGUCCGGCUAACUACGUGCCAGCAGCCGCGGUAACACGUAGGGGCCGAGCGUUGUCCGGAUUCAUUGGGCGUAAAGAGCUCGUAGGCGGUUCAGUCAGUCGGGUGUGAAAUCUCCGGGCUCAACCCGGAGGGGCCACCCGAUACUGCUGUGACUCGAGCCCGGUAGGGGAGCGGGGAAUUCCUGGUGUAGCGGUGAAAUGCGCAGAUAUCAGGAGGAACACCGGUGGCGAAGGCGCCGCUCUGGGCCGGUACUGACGCUGAGGAGCGAAAGCGUGGGUAGCAAACAGGAUUAGAUACCCUGGUAGUCCACGCUGUAAACGGUGGGCACUAAGGUGUGGGUCCUUACCAACGGGAUCCGUGCCGUAGCUAACGCAUUAAGUGCCCCGCCUGGGGGAGUACGGCCGCAAGGCUA
rnacentral:rRNA from 1 species